AAAAGCCGUGUACGGGAGAACCGUAUGCACGGUUUGAUGAGGGAGCAUUGAGGAUGCAAGGCCUUUGGAACACGUAGUAGCCGCGUGCGGCAAGGCGUCUCGAAUAUAAAAAGGGCUGAAGAAACCGGCCGAAUCAGUGCUCUACUCUAC
rfam:Desulfobacter postgatei 2ac9 chromosome, whole genome shotgun sequence.